rnacentral:rRNA from 1 species
AAAGUUACGCUAAUACCGCAUAUUCUGUGAGCAGGAAAGCAGGGGGAUCGCAAGACCUUGCGCUGAUUUGAGCGGCCGAUAUCAGAUUAGCUAGUUGGUGAGGUAAAGGCUCACCAAGGCGACGAUCUGUAGCGGGUCUGAGAGGAUGAUCCGCCACACUGGAACUGAGACACGGUCCAGACUCCUACGGGAGGCAGCAGUGGGGAAUUUUUGGACAAUGGGCGCAAGCCUGAUCCAGCCAUGCCGCGUGAGUGAAGAAGGCCUUCGGGUUGUAAAGCUCUUUCAGCCGGGAAGAAAACGCAUGGGUUAAUACCCUGUGUGGAUGACGGUACCGGAAUAAGAAGCACCGGCUAACUACGUG